rnacentral:lncRNA from 1 species
AACUAGAAUGAGGUAGAAAAUAUGAGACUGGUGAUAUGUGUGCAAUUGCAAACACAUUUAAGGCCUUUAAACUAGAAUUAUUGCAAAGUAUUAAGAAACUCUUUUUGUUUUUUUGAUUGUUUUUAUUGUUUUAAUGCAAAUACUAGUGAUCGGGGAGAAAUAAAAGGAAAGAAGAACAAAUAAGUUAGAAUCUGGUGCAGAUAAGCUGAAGUAAAACAGACGACAUUUCUGAAUGUCAAAGUCACCAUUAAGAG